GAAUGUGCCAGGGUCAAGUCUGUACUGAUUUUCAUGGUGAAUAGAUUACAUGCUUGCAUUCAUGUUCACUUCCGAAGCGCUUAGUGUCUUCCUUCCCUUACUUACAUAUUAACCUCAAAUACCCCGCGCGGCUUCAUCCCAGCUUUACUAGAGGUAGCUCCCGAGAUUUCACUCCCCGAUCGCAGGUUCCCU
rfam:Anas platyrhynchos breed Pekin duck contig88404, whole genome shotgun sequence.